ACGCCCGUUCCACGCCGACCCAAGGGGAAAUUAAAAAAAAACCCGUAUCGAGGCCGGGAACAGACGUCCUCGCGUGCGGCGCUCUUGGCCGUGCUCCAAUCCAAGUCUCCAACCCAUCGCCCGCUGCUCGCCUUCCCCGAUCCGGUGGCACCCUGCUCGACUCUUGGCUCCUGCUCAUCCUCUCGCGCCGCUCACCUCUCCGAUCCGGCGGUCCUUUCGCACCGCUCGCCUACCCGCCUGGUGGCUCGUUACUCGAUCCUGGCGGUUGCUGCUCCAGCCAUCACGCCCCUCGCUAAUCCAGUAGCUCCUCUCCGACCCCAAAGGAUUGUAGGAUAUGAUUGGUAGUGUGGAACGGUUCAAGUUCUUUGGCGCUCAACUGCGACUAAGUACUUGAGCAGCAAUUUGAUUGUUCAAUACUAUGUGACCAAUUUCUCAAGGUCUAUGUUGGACAUCAUUGGUAGGUAGAGAUGCUAUUUAGCAUGUCGAAUUGUUAACUUGCUAGCUUGGCUUGAAAUAACUCUUUGGUGACCACUUUUGAUUGAGCAUUUGCAUUCUCAGUCUCUCAGAACUUUCUAUAAGUUUAGACCAUAGCGCUGCCAAUUUGACAUAGUUCUUAAAUUUUAUAAUAGGUUCAAACAGGGGUGGUAAUUAAAUAGAUAGGUUGUAUGAUUUUUUUUCUUGAUGAUAUGAUGCUUUCAUGUUUGAAAUAGUUUCCAUGUCCUGUUUAGUUACAUUAUUUGUGGUAGAUAAUAGAUACUAAUUGUUUUUAUAGCCUACUGUUGGAAUUGGAACUCACUAGAAGAAUAAGACAAAUCCACUAAUAUUCCCUUGAUUUGGGGUGAAUGAUUUCACACUCUUGCAUUAGAUAUUUUUUGUUUCUUCUAAAUAUAGAAAUUGGGUAAUUCUUUUGCAUAUUUUUGUACAACGGCUGUGUGAUGCGCGGUGAUUGAUCUAUAGCAUUUGGUGGCUCAACUGCUCAAGUUCUAGGCUGUAACUCAAGUUCUUCAACAAUCUGCUGAGUGAUGACCACUUUCUCGUGACUGAUGAGUGUGGAUGAUCAAUUGAUUUCUCCAACGAUGAUUCAAAAACAACUCAUACAGAACAUGAAGAUGGACCAGUACUCUGGCAACCACCUCACACAUGGCACAGUAGCAAUUUGAUGGUCUUAGAAAGCAUCACAGUUUUGUUUGUCUUUCAGCUAUAUACAACUUUCAGAAAAUAAUGAAACCAAUAGUGUCGGAUUUGAAUGGUUUUUCAGUUUUGGUCU